rnacentral:lncRNA from 1 species
GUAAAUAAAUCCUCGGAAGCCGAGUGCUGGAGGCGGCCGAGAAGCUGUCAGGGCGCGGCCGUCGCCUCCUCAGGGAAAGCUCUGAGGCAUGGAAGGGCCGCCGGGACCCGCCGGUGCAGGAGCCCGCGAGGGAAGCCGUGUGGGGCGGGGCGCAGGCCUAGGAGGCAGCAGUUGCACCCUGGGGUGAGGGGAAAGGAAGUAGCCAGAGUGAAGGCUUUGAGCGGGUGAUGUCUGUUCUUCGCCUGAAGUGCAGGACCCUUACCACUUCACCCCGAAUCUUCGCUGUUUUCUCCACCCUGAGCUUGCCCCAAAUCUAACCACAGGCAGACACACCCAUAUAAGGGCGGAACUUGGGCAAUCUUAAAAAGAAGUCAUUAAAAAUAAACUCCCUGGGCUUUUAUAGCAGCCUUUUUGUAAAUUAUUUUUAUUCAACAGAGAUAGGGGCCUGCUUUAGAAAGUAGAUGGACAGUGUGCGUGUUGCAGUCUAUUUAAAUUAUGUAUUGGUAAGGUCAGCUCUCCAUGAACUUUGAAAUCAUGUAAUUGUUUCAAAAGCGAAACCAUUCACUUAAGACUUGUUUUAACCAACCUAUACCUCCAUCCCCACCCCGCGCCUUCCAGAGUAAUUAAAUGUAAAUAUAUAUAAAUGUAUACAGUAAGUCCCUGACUUAGGAGCUUUCGAGCUUCAAACUUUGACAGGUGCCAAGGGACCUCCGAUUACGAACAUUCAUAAAUGCAAACAAAUUGCGGAAGUAGCGCGUGUCCGCUGGACGUUGUCACAGUUGUGCCGCUUGUGCUUACUGCAUAGUGUGAUAGUGUAAUACUACUCAAACAUCGGGAUCUUUUUUCAAGAGUGUAGACAAUUGAAUCCAUCAAAACUCCUGUGUCGGCCAGGUGUGGUGGCACCUGCUUGUAACCCCAGCACUUUGGAGCCUGAGGCUGCGAAUUCAAGGCCUGCCUGGGCUACAUAGUUCAAAGGCAGCCUGCACUAUACAGUGAGACCCUGUCUCAAAAAAUAAACAAAAAACCCCUGUUUGAGCAGAAUUCUAUCUUGCCCUCCAUCUGCCAUUGCAGAUGGUCCUUCAGCUCCACCUUCUCCUCCCACCCUCCCUCUUCCAGUUAGUAAGGCUCUUCUUGUCAGUUGACCCCAUGUGCCAGUUGUAGUGUACCAUCAUUUUUUUUUUGAGGCAAGACAUUUAUUUGUACCACCAUUUUAGGGUAACUAUAAAGUAAAAAUUGUUUGUUUAGAGUAUUUGUGUGUGAGUGUGUGUUUGGUGUUUUUAUGCUUUACAUUGUGUAUCUGUGUCAAAGGUAUAAGACUCACUUUGUCCAACUUAACAAAGGAAUACGACUUAGGAAGCGUCUCCCCAAACAGAACUUGUCCCUAAGUCGGAGACUAACUCUAUAUGCAUUUCUUUCAUUGAUGCGGUCAGGAAAAGUGUCCAAAAUGUGGAAAUGGGCAAGAGAGAUUACUGCGUGUCCUUUCAGUGGGGUGCUGGAUUGGGUGCUGUUUGUUAGAACUUCACGAGAUUAUCUGAUUCUAAAGUGUCUGUACCCUCGUGGACUUCCUAUUGACUAGGUAUUUUCCAGCUCUGUAUGGGUGGAAGUUAACUUGUAGGAAACUGGUGAUAGCACAAAAGAUCCUUGUUCAUAGCAAUGAAAAUGCAUGUUUUCUAGUAGAAAUAUAAGUGAUUUCUGCCAGGUAAAAAAAUAAGAAACUCAAUAAUUACACUUUGUCCUGUGUGAUGUUAACUAGUUAAACCAGUUUGGCUUCUAUCAGCAAACACAUUUCAUUGGCUCAUGCCUGUGAUCCCAGCACUCCUGGAGGCUCCUGGGCAACUUAGCAUUUUAGCAAGACCUUGUCUCAAAAAUGGAAAGAUCUGAGGAUGUAACUCAAUAUGAAGGCCCUCGGUUCAAUCCCCAGUACUGAAAAAAAAAUUUUUUUUUCAUCCUAAUUUCAAAUUCCUUUGUACUUUAAUACAUUACUAGUUCUCCUUUGAAGUCAACAUCUUACUGAAUCUUAAUUGGACAGAAUCUUAGGCUGAAUCUCAGAUUGCUUGUUUGUGUGGUACUGGGAAUUAAACUCCAGGCCUUUGCCCUGAGAUACAUCCCCAGCCCUUUUUUAUUAUUUUUAUUUACUUAUUAUUCCUUUAUUUUUGAGAUAGUGUCUCACUAAAUUGUCCAGGCUGAACUCAAACUUGUGAUUCUGCUGCCUCAGCCUCCCAGAGUACUAGGAUUAUGUGUACACAACAUCAUGCCCAGCAGAUAGAUUUUAAUUUUACUUUUGCAUGAGUCGUGUUUUUGAAGAAUUAUACUUUAGCACAAUCCAUGUUAUUGUAUAGUCUAUAUCAGAUUGAGUGAUUUUUAAAAAUUAUUUUUGCUGGGCAUGGUGGUGCACAACUGUAAUCCAGGCUAAGGCAAGAAGAUUGCAAGUUCAAGGCUAGCCAAGGCAAUCUGGUGAGAUGCUAUCUCAAAAUCAAAAUAAAAAGGGCUUGGGCCGGGGCUUUAGCUCAGUGGUUUCGCCACCUGCUGCGCAAACGCAAGGACCCUAGUUCAAUCCCUGGUACCAAAAACAAAAAAUAAAUGAAUAAAAAGGGCUGGAGAUGUAGCUCAGUGGUACAGCGCUUACCUAGCAUGUGUGAGAUCCUGGGUUCAAUCCCUGUUACUGAAAAAAAUAAAACCUUUUUUAUGGGCUCACUUUUUUCCUUAAAAAAAAAUUUUUUUUUUCAGUACUGAAGCUUGAACUCAGGACCUUGCAUUUGCCAGGCAGGUGCAGCACCACUGAGCUACAUCCCCAGCCCCUCAAAAAAAAAUUUCUUUUUUUUGGCACCAGGGAUCAAACUCCGGUCCUUGUGCUUAUGGGGCAGGUGGCAGAACCACUACGCUAAAUCCCCGACCUCCUCCAAAUUUUUUUAAUGUACUUAUUAUUCACUCAGUGGCAAGUUCAUUGGAUCACAACAUGAAAGAUUAUCUCCUCAUUAGUAUUUACCACAAGAAUUAAAACAAUAUUGAAAUAGUGUUAAAUUUAGAGCAAAGAGAUUAUUGGUGAGAAAACAUUAGGCUUUAAAAAAGUUCUUUUAAGGGUGACAGAUACAUCAACACCUUCUAAAAGAGGGUUUGGAGAGCACACUUUCUUCUAUGACAUUUAUAUUUUAAUAGCCUCAUCGAAGAGUUUUCUGGGGGUUUUUCAUCAAAGAGUUUUGAUGCUUGAUUUCAAGAUGGCAUCUUCAGCCCUGAAAUUCUCUCUCUCCUUCACAAAUCCCAGGGUAAAGGCCAAAGAUACACUGUAGUAUAAGAAUACAGUAUUUGGUUUUGUCCCAGGUUCCUGUCACAGAGCUUCUAAAGCCCUGGAAAUCUCCUGAGUGUAGUAGUAUCUUUGAUAUUCAUAAUAAGCCCCUUUUAGAAUACCUGAGUUUAGACUGAGGAGAUGACUUACUUGGUCCCUCUGGAAACCCUGAGGAUGGAGAGGCCAUCCUCAGAAAAACCAGGCAGUCAAAAGGUUGGAAUUUUCAGUCCCACCCACCAAACUCUAGGAAAGAGGAGCUAAAGAUAAAACUAUAAAAACUCCAGAACAAUAAGAUUUGAUAUUUUUUUCAGGUUGGCCUUAAGCUCAUUAUGUAGCCUGGGGUGGCCAUGAACUUGAGGCGAUCCUCCUGCCUCUCAGCCUCCUGAGUGCUGGGAUUACAGGAAUGGCUUGACUGUCUCAUUUUCAUGAGCCUGAGCUGAUGACAUCUGAGAACACUUGAAGGCCACUGUGAAAGGAGACCCAGCACUCCUCCUAGAAUGAAAUCAUCAUGUCAAGCAAUUUGGGUCCUGUCCUGGAGAAAUGUCCCUGCUGCUAUAUCUAGGAAGUCCACUGGAGCCCACUUCCGGACCCAGGAUCAGCUGAGCAGCUUCACAGCCACUCACUGCCCUGACGAGAAAGCAGCCAGACCUCAGAAGCAAAUCAGCAGGGCCAGCACCACUGUUGAGGAGGCCCAAAGGCUGUGAAGGCUGAGCUCCAGAUCCUCAUUGAUAAAAGCCAGCUGACAGCGAAGACCCCUUAUUAUCAGCGACCUCAGCCAACACACAACCUUCAAAACAUACUUUCUCCAGUUAUUUUGCAGUUUUAUUGGUUUCUUGCUAACCAUGUUGCUUGUAGCCCAUGUCUUCCUCUUUCCCCUCUCUUCUUCCUCCUUCUUUACCUUCUCUUGGUGGAUCUUCAUGUGUCUCUUGCAGAAAGCAUUCCUGGAUGGCAAACUUUUCGAAUCUUUGCAUGUGUGAAUACAUGUUAAUGUUGCUCUCACUUCAUUGUGGAUGAACUGGGUAUGGAAUCCUGGAUUCAGAAUAUUUAAGUGAUACUUCAUGAGGUAUAAAUUCUGAAUUCAGAAUAAUUUUCUGUCAGAAUUUGGUAAAACAUUUCCUUGAUAUUUGUACGACCUUGAAUUUGAUCCCCAUAGCUGCCAAAGAUAAAAAAUUGAAAAACUGAAAAAAGCCUUCUGUUCCCCUGGAUCCUCACACACACACACACCUUUUGGGAUUUCCCAGGAACCCAGACAUUUCCUGAGGAUACAGUGUUUCAUUAUUCCUUUUCAGCACUCAUGAGUCCCUUUCAAUUUGUAGACUUGAGCCUUUCUUCAGGAGAGAUUUAAAAAACACUUUUAAUAUUUCAUUCC